rnacentral:rRNA from 1 species
AACGAACGCUGGCGGCAUGCCUAACACAUGCAAGUCGAACGAAGCCUUCGGGCUUAGUGGCGCACGGGUGCGUAACGCGUGGGAAUCUGCCCCUUGCUUCGGAAUAACAGUUAGAAAUGACUGCUAAUACCGGAUGAAGUCUUCGGACCAAAGAUUUAUCGGCAAGGGAUGAGCCCGCGUAGGUUUAGGUAGUUGGUGGGGUAAAGGCCUACCAAGCCGACGAUCCUUAGCUGGUCUGAGAGGAUGAUCAGCCACACUGGGCCUGAGACACGGCCCAGACUCCUACGGGAGGCAGCAGUGGGGAAUAUUGGACAAUGGACGCAAGUCUGAUCCAGCAAUGCCGCGUGAGUGAUGAAGGCCUUAGGGUUGUAAAGCUCUUUUACCAGGGAUGAUAAUGACAGUACCUGGAGAAUAAGCUCCGGCUAACUCCGUG